AGUGGGGGAUAACCUCGGGAAACCGAGGCUAAUACCGCAUAACAUCGCAAGAUCAAAGCAGCAAUGCGCUGGAAGAGGGGGUCGCGGCUGAUUAGCUAGUUGGCGGGGUAACGGCCCACCAAGGCGAAGAUCGGUAUCCGGCCUGAGAGGGCGCACGGACACACUGGAACUGAAACACGGUCCAGACUCCUACGGGAGGCAGCAGUGGGGAAUUUUGCGCAAUGGGGGAAACCCUGACGCAGCAACGCCGCGUGGAGGAUUAAGCCCCUUGGGGUGUAAACUCCUUUCGACCAAGACGAUAAUGACGGUACUGGUGGAAGAAGCACCGGCUAACUCUGUGCCAGCAGCCGCGGUAAUACAGAGGGUGCGAGCGUUGUUCGGAAUUAUUGGGCGUAAAGGGCGCGUAGGCGGUGCCACAAGUCACUUGUGAAAUCCCCGGGCUUAACCCGGGGUCUGCAGGCGAAACUGUGGUGCUGGAGUAUGGGAGAGGUGCGUGGAAUUCCCGGUGUAGCGGUGAAAUGCGUAGAUAUCG
rnacentral:rRNA from 1 species